AUAGCAUAAGUUAGGAAUAUGAUUCUUCCAUAGGUAAACUUAUAGAAGCCUUAGUAUCCCAGCAAUGGGAGGCCACGCGACUAAAAAGAAUGUGGCCGUUUACUAGUUGACUCUUGUCAGCAACACAACCAAACUGUUCGGGAACACCCAGGCGUCUUAACCCUUUCUGUAGUAAUUACUGUUAGGAAAUGGCAUGGGUGACCCAUAGCGAAUACCUCUUGAGCAUUUCAAAUGCCGUUAGGGAACGUUC
rnacentral:misc_RNA from 1 species